UUAUUCAUGUUUUUUUUGUAGUUUUAGAAAUCAUGCUUUGGGGGAUAGGUUCUUCUCAAAUACAACUUUUUUAGGAAUGUUUUAGUUGUUCUUAACAAUUAUGUGCAUCAAUAGUUUAUAUAAUGGUAGUUCAUUAAUUUCACGUAUUAAAGGACUGCUUGUUUGGUUACUGGUUAUGUAAAUUCCCAAUCUUGGAAACGAUUAUUUCAGUCAUUCGAGGAGCUUAGUAAGUUAUAUUCGCUGGAAAUGACUAUUUUUAGAAGUCUAAAUAUUAUAUAGUUUCAAUUUUGGUUUGGUACAUGCAAUAGUUUAUAUAAUGAUCCUUGGCUUGCUCACCAUAGUUUUCUUGUUAGUUUACUCAUCAAAACUUUAAUCUUUAGCAAUAGUUUGUUGGGUUGACUCUGCAUGACUAUCUUGGUUUGAUCCUUAUCCAUCUUGCCUUCCUUGGGUGUUGGUUUAACAUGCCAUGAUAAUGUACUAACAUUUCUUUUAUCAUAUAACUUUUUGGCUCGACCUUAUUUCUUACCAAUUUGAUUCAUCAAUAGGAACGAUAUUUUCCUCAACAGAUACAGUGUGUACACUACAGGUUCUACAUCAAGAUGAGACUCCUUUGCAUUACAGUCUAGUCUUCUCUCUGAGCUCAAAGUUGAUGGUUCUAUGCUUAGUUCUGGAAAUCUGCUAUCCAGUUUUGUGCCCAUCCAUUUUUGUUCAUUAUCCUUUGCUAUUCUAUAUUAUUUUCGCUGUUAUUGAUUGUGUGCCUUUCUUCUCCACCCUCAACCUCACAUACAAUGUCUUUUUAAUUAUCAUGUCAUAUGAGAAUCUGUGUUAGUUUCAGUCUUUGCUUGACCUCAGUUCUUACAAUUUGACCUGUAAAUACAGUUUCUGCACUUCGAUUACAGAACAUCUUAUGGGAUAAUGAUGUGAAAAGCACAAAGUACACUUUGAAGGAAAUGAUAAUGCAUUUUUCUUUCCUUGAACACCCGGACGGAAAGACUAUGAUUAAAUUUGAAACGUUGGCAAAUCUAGCUAAGUAUAUUAUUGUUUUUUUUUUUACUCUAGUUUGUUGUAAUAAAAUUUGUUAAUAUAAACACAAUUCCAUAUAAUUUGCCAAAUUUCUUGGAUGUUAUGAUUGCAUAAAUGCGGUACCACUCAUAUGAAGAGAUAUAGAUCAUAGUUAUUCUUGUGGUUGAUUUUCACUAAACUUAGUUCUGAUUUCUAACAAGUAAUCUUUGGUCAAAAUCAUGAUUCCCUUCAGCUUUGUUUUGCGGGUGAUCUUCUAAUGGAGUUGGGUGCUGGGAGAGUUGGCAACUACAACUGUGCCACACCUUUUUCUACCUUUAGCUUGUGCUACCAAUGUGGCCAAGGUUCAACCCUUCUCUGUCUCUCAUUUUCUGGGUGAUACGGUGAUCAUUGCUCAUAAAUGCCCUGGCCAUCAUUUUGUCAAACUGUUACAUAUGAUGUCCACUGUUGUUUUGAUGGUGUGAGUAAGCCCUGCUUUGGCAGCAAUCAGUGGUUCAACAAGUAUAAUUGAAACAUAAACCACUGAUUUUGAGUUCUUUGUUGCUAGUAAAUACUAAAUAGUAAUAAAUAUAGUCACUCUUUAAUAGUUCUUUGAGUUCUUUGUUUCAGCAUCAGCAAGUUUUGUUGGAUUGCCAUUGAAUUGAAGGAUUUUGGAUACUUCUUGAGUUGGGGAGAUUUUUGCAAGUUUUUCGAGUAUAUCAGAAUUAAGGCCUCGACCCUCAAGGAGGGCAUCAAGGAUUUCUUUCCGAGAUACUGCAAGAGAUCUAAGUACUAUUGCUGUGUUUUGGGAUUUCCGAGGCUCAAGGAUAAAGAUUUGAGCAGGUGGAACAGAGCUGGAACUAAUUGAACUUGAAAUUUUACUGCUUUCAAGAGAUCUGUGAUUGGUGGCAUUGUAUCCAAAUAGAGCUUCCAUAAGAUCAUCAUCAAAUCUAAAGAACACAGAAGACCAAUAACAAGGAACACAAUGUCAAUUAUCAGACGGAUAGUAAAGAAGAAAAAAAACAUGAAUAUGUGGUUAAAUUCAAGGCCUCAUUUACCGGAAAGAUCCAUCAUUGAUCUCAUCCCAGACCACUGAAUGAUCAGCAUUAGCUAUAACCUUGUCCCAGUGUAGUGGCUUCAGUUUUAUCCCUUUUGUGCUUUCUCCAUUGGGAGCCUCUACCCUACUAUUGAUGCUUGUAUUUCCCCUUGGUACAUGAGAGGGUUUCAUUGAUGAAACCAAACCACCAGUCCCAGGUGGUGGAGGUAGUGGUGCAGGAUUUCUCUUUGCUGAAGUUGGUAAUGGAUGAGGUGGUGGUGUGGUGGUGGUGGUGGUGGAGGAGGCUGAGGAGGUUGUGGUGGUUGAGGGGGGCAUAAUGGUUGUGGUGGUGUCACAAUGGGUGAAGGAAUAAGUGGAGCUGGUUUUGCCACUUUGGCAAUAUCAGCCAUAUUACGUGGCUCAUGAAGCAAUGGGAUUUCCUGAAUUCUUUCAGAGUUCUUGAGUUUAUCUCCUCUAGUAUAAAUCCUCUUUUCUUCUUCUUCAUCUUCUUCUUCCAUUGAAAUUGGAUUUACCCAAACUUUAGAGAAACAACUCAUGAGGUGUUUUUGUUCAAGUUUUCUCAAAUAAAGAACAUCCAACCCAUUCUUAUCAACAAUUAGUCCUUUCAGAGUUCCUCCUAGUUCUCUGAACUCUUGAUGACUCACCACCACUGUUUCUUCUCGACGAAAACUUGAAUCAAAUUUCUCUCUGUGAUACUAUUGAGCUAAGGCUAAUUUGUGGAAGAGCAAGAACAAGAUCC